GAUGAACGCUGGCGGCGUGCCUAAUACAUGCAAGUCGAGCGAACAGACGAGGAGCUUGCUCCUCUGACGUUAGCGGCGGGAGGGUGAGUAACACGUGUAUACCCUACCUAUAAGACUGGGAUAACAUCGGGAAACCGGAGCUAAUACCGGGUAAUAUAUUAAAACGCAUGGUUCAAUAGUGAAACACGGUUUUGAUGACACUUAUAGAUGGAUCCGCGCCGCACUAGCUAGUUGGUAAGGUAACGGCCUACCAAGGCAACGAUGCGUAGCUGACCUGGGCGGGGGACAGGCCACGCUGGAAGUGAGACACGGUCCACACUCCUACGGGGGGACGCAGCAGGGAAUUUUCGGCAAUGGGAGAAGGCCUGACGGAGCAACGCCGGGUGAGUGGUGAGGGUCUUCGGAUCGGAAGAUUCUAUUAUUAGGGAAGAACAACUGUGUAAGCAACAAUGCACGCCUUGACGGUACCUGAGCAGAAAGCCACGGCUAACUACGUG
rnacentral:rRNA from 1 species